rnacentral:lncRNA from 1 species
CAUUACUGCACAGUGGUGUCACCAUGCAGUUAAUGGCGGGUGAGUUAUGGUUCCUAAGUGCCGUGUGUAUCUGAGGGUCAGACUGACCUCAGUUUUAGCCCGAAGUAAGGGCCCUGGUGCCGGGAGACUCAGCCUGACGCCCACGAAGACGGUCCCCACCGGGACGAGCAGCACAGCCUGACCCCCACCGGGACGCGCAGCACAGCCUGACCCCCACCGGGACGGGCAUCACGGCCUGACCCCCACCGGGACGCGCAGCACAGCCUGACCCCCACCGGGACGCGCAGCACGGCCUGACCCCCACCGGGACGGGCAUCACAGCCUGACCCCC